UAAACCAGCGAGGGGUGCUUCUGGAGUGUCGUCCCCCUAAGGUUACCUUAGGGGGUAUGGCGACCAUUCCAGGGCUGAGAUUAUACCCUUUCUACCUGAUCCGGUUCGCACCGGCGGAGGGACUGCUGUGUACUUGAAGA
rnacentral:ncRNA from 2 species